AUGGACCACGUGGACACUCCGGUUCCUCCGCGCCGCCCGCACCUGACGGCCGCUUGCGACGUUUUGUUAGCC
rnacentral:sRNA from 1 species